AAGGAAUUAGUUAAAUUAUAACAUUAGUUUGUCAAACUAAAAUUAUUAAAAAAAUAUAAUAUCCCUUA
rnacentral:tRNA from 1 species